AUGAGUUUGCCACACAGGAGUACAGUGCUCCCUGCACCACAGAGGAAGUGGACCAGGGCAAUGCAUGAAGAAUACUCCCAGAUGCUGGAACCCACCUGCCUCACUACCACCACCACCCCCUAUGGAGUGACAGAUGAAUAAUGCCUGCAAGGAGUGGGAAAUUAACUUUACAAAUAAAUUAACUGUACUCACCAAUGAUUUUUGAACAAUUUAUUCCCAAUUCUGAUUUUUCCUGCUCAGCUUUCAGUCACAGCUUUAAUCUCCCUGGCUUCUUAAGUUGAAGAGUAUACCAUCCAGGAAUGCCUGUAUGCAGGGUAGUAAGACUGACAAGUGAGGAAGAAAAAAAGAGGACCAAAUGAUUUAAGUUGGGGUCAGCCUUUCUAAUGUAUCUCUAUCUGUGCUAUGUUCUUUGAACUUGUCAUCUGUGAUCCUGUAUAAUCAAUGGAGAAGGACAGGUACUUCUUGGGAACAAUUUCUCUCCCCUGGCUUAGAAACCAUAACCUUGAUAGAAUUGGUCUCUGCUGAUGGCUAUCCAUGUCUCCCACAGGUAGGCAGCCUGGAUGAUCAGCUAAUGUUAAAAGAAAUUCAACCUCUGUGAUCUUACCUGUAGACAGCCCUUUUGGGAUUGUUUCUUGUUUGUAGAAGAGUGGAAAGAGAUAUAGUCUGCCCUCUUCUAAGAUUAGAGUGUAUGGUGGCAGGAGGAAUGUGUGCAUGCAUUAUGCCAUCAGCUGCUAACUUAGCCUGUUCCACAGUUGGAGCUUGGGCCUUCUUGUGGAAACUUCCAUACCUUGUGUCUGCUGCUUCGGGGAGAUUCCGAAGGAGAAGCUAAUGGCAUUUGCCUGUAACCUACCUGCCUAAGUCUAGUCGAAAUGGCACAUUUAUUUAAAUCAUAGAGUUGCUUUGAUGAAACUCUCUAUAGGCCUCUUAUAUAUCUCCAGGAAUGCUCCCCUUUUCUUGGUUUUGUCUCAUUAAUUUGUGGGUUUAACUUUUUAAAUGCCGAAAGAUCUUACAUAACUGUUUAUUCUCAUGAAAUGCUUAUUGUUAGGUAUCAUGGCACACUGUGUAUCCAAAGUAUGUUCCACCUGAUUUCUUUCAGUGAGCCUGUACAAAAAAUGUAAUUGAGAAUAAAUAAAAUUCUUCAUCUAUUUUGCUAGAUAUUAAUAUUA